rnacentral:misc_RNA from 1 species
AAAUUGCGAUAAGUAGUGUGAAUUGCAGACGCUUUGAACGCCGAACUUUCGAACGCACAUGGCGUCGUAGGAGUCCUACCCUACGGCACAUCUGGUUGGGUGUCGUGAUCAAAAACUACAUGAUUGUAGCAGUUAGUAGAACUAGUUGGUGAAACACAAGUCCCUCCUACCGCUUAUAGUUGAUGUCGUUUGCCAUAAUAUCUAAAGACUACUCCUUGCCUUGACGAGGGUGGCCUACCACAUGGAUGAUCUUUAGCCGAGGCAAUAGAUCCCGGGCCCAAGGUAUUUUGCAUCUGUUCAUACACUGAUGACGUCUGUGAUACGGCUAGUACGCUUCAUAUGUGCCUGGUUUUGAAAGUUUUCGCUUUCCUGACCUCAACUCAGUUGUGAUUAUUCGCUGAAUUUAA